rnacentral:rRNA from 1 species
CAGCCGCCGCGGGAAUACGAAGGGGGCUAGCGUUGUUCGGAUUUACUGGGCGUAAAGCGCACGUAGGCGGAUCCUUAAGUCAGAGGUGAAAUCCCAAGGCUCAACCUUGGAACUGCCUUUGAUACUGGAGAUCUCGAGUUCGGGAGAGGUGAGUGGAACUGCGAGUGUAGAGGUGAAAUUCGUAGAUAUUCGCAAGAACACCAGUGGCGAAGGCGGCUCACUGGCCCGAUACUGACGCUGAGGUGCGAAAGCGUGGGGAGCAAACAGGAUUAGAUACCCGCGUAGUCCCUGUCUCUUAUAC